GACAGGGGAUGCAAGCGUUAUCCGGAAUGAUUGGGCGUAAAGCGUCUGUAGGUGGCUUUUUAAGUCUGCCGUCAAAUCCCAGGGCUCAACCCUGGCCAGGCGGUGGAGACUACUAAGCUGGAGUACGGUAGGGGCAGAGGGAAUUUCCGGUGGAGCGGUGAAAUGCGUAGAUAUCGGAAGGAACGCCGGUGGCGAAAGCGGCGUGCUGGACCUCUUCUGACGCUGAGGCGCGAAAGCCAGGGGAGCAAACGGG
rnacentral:rRNA from 1 species